UACGUAGGGGGCAAGCGUUGUCCGGAAUUAUUGGGCGUAAAGCGCGCGCAGGCGGUUUCUUAAGUCUGAUGUGAAAGCCCACGGCUUAACCGUGGAAGGUCAUUGGAAACUGGGAGACUUGAGUGCAGAAGAGAAGAGCGGAAUUCCACGUGUAGCGGUGAAAUGCGUAGAGAUGUGGAGGAACACCAGUGGCGAAGGCGGCUCUUUGGUCUGUAACUGACGCUGAGGCGCGAAAGCGUGGGGAGCAAACAGG
rnacentral:rRNA from 1 species